GGUAACCAGAAUUUCACUGAGAGGCUGCAGGAGGAGCUUGUGGCUCUCAGGAGGGUCCUCAAUGGAUCCAGGGUCAGCAGCCAUACAUCGCGGAGCAAUGACUAGACUAAUAGUGCACACAUCUGGUGCGUAUCUUGCUCAGAAGGAAGCUCUGUGACCAGACCGCGUCUGGUACAGGAGCAUGACAUGGCAUCAGAAAUAAACUAAGAACAGAAACAGAUGGGAAACAGCAACAAAAGUUGGAAACAGAAGGACCAAGCAUCAAAGGUUGCAGGAUCUCAUCAAAGUGCCACUCUUCAAUGCCCCAGAGAACUUCAGCUUUGACAAACCUUCAGAACGGACAGACUGAACACAAUAUUUUGCAAGUUUUUGUAUUGCUACCAAGUUCCACAGUGAAACUGAUGAUAUUCAGCCAACAAAAUCCUAUAGCAGGAAGAUCCAUUCCUUGCUCUUCUAAGUUACAGAUCAACACCAAUAGUGGCUACUGGAUAUAGUCCCUCACAAAUCCUGAUGGGAAGACAGCUCAGAACUAUUGUUCCAACUUUGGAACAGAAACUAUCUCGAAAGUGGCCUGACAUGAAGACAGUAGCCAAAUCGGACAAAAAGGAAAAAAAUACCAAAAAACACUUUUACAACAGAUGUCACUCCGAGAACAGCUGGGUCUAGAACCCGGUGACUGUGUUUGUGUCAAAUUGGAUGCAGAGGAAAAGAAUUCAUCACCCAGAUCAUAUGUGAUUGAGACCAACAGUGGCUAGUUCAACAGAAACUAUUGUCAUCUACAGUUUGUUCCUCAGCAAGAUCAACAGAGCAAACUCUACAGAUGGCGGAUGCAAAAGAAGUAGACACAAGGAUUCCAAACUGAACAUAGCCAGUCAUUGCAAUUAAUCGACAGCCAGAUGAGCAAGCUGUUAUGUGUUUGGGUUGUGUAAUUAGAAAAUCACUAUGAUUCAGAGGCACUUAACAGACUGAUACAUGCUGAGCUUCAAAGAUAGCGUGAUAGUGUAAACUUUGUAAAUGGCAGGAAUGUAGAACUUAAAGGGGGAGAGGUAAUAGAAUGCUAAACUGUAUUAUAUAGUUCAGCCACUAGGUGGCAUUGUGUGAAACAUACCUUAGUUAAAUUAACCUCUGUCAUACCUGGCAAAGUAUUAAAGGAUCCUACAGUGCUCACAUCUGGUGCGUAUCUUGCUCAGCAGGAAGCUCUGUGACCAACCUGUGUCUCUCCGGGAGCAUGACAAGUGCCACACGUGUGCCUGCUGAGUGUGGAGGCACUGGCUUGUGCUAAUAAGGUCAAGAUAAUGACAGUGAGA